AUUGAACGCUGGCGGCAUGCCUUACACAUGCAAGUCGAACGGCAGCACGGGAGCAAUCCUGGUAGCGAGUGGCGAACGGGUGAGUAAAGUAUCGGAACGUGCCCAGUCGUGGGGGAUAACGUAGCGAAAGUUACGCUAAUACCGCAUACGAUCUAUGGGUGAAAGCGGGGGAUCGCAAGACCUCGCGCGAUUGGAGCGGCCGAUAUCAGAUUAGGUAGUUGGUGGGGUAAAGGCUCACCAAGCCGACGAUCUGUAGCUGGUCUGAGAGGACGACCAGCCACACUGGGACUGAGACACGGCCCAGACUCCUACGGGAGGCAGCAGUGGGGAAUUUUGGACAAUGGGCGCAAGCCUGAUCCAGCCAUGCCGCGUGCAGGAUGAAGGCCUUCGGGUUGUAAACUGCUUUUGUACGGAACGAAAAGGUUUGACUUAAUACGUUGGACUCAUGACGGUACCGUAAGAAUAAGCACCGGCUAUCUACGUGCCAGCCGCCGCGGUAA
rnacentral:rRNA from 1 species